GGAUGCUUCAGAUUUACACAUCUGGUAAAAAGUUUGGCUCAUUAUGCUCAUCUGUGGUAGUGCGUGUUAGCAAUAUUCUCCUCGUGCUGUUUAAGUUGUAGCUAAAUAGGUUAUUAAUGAAAGGUUCAGAGCUGAUAUGAGACGCACUUCUUUGUUAAAGACAAGCGAAGCUUUUUUCGAAGUUGACACUGACUAUCAAGGUUUAGGAGACACUUCAUCUACACUCUGAUGCAUUUGUGACUUAGUCAACGGUGAGACUGCUUAAUCUUUCGGUUAGUCGUCCUCCCUUGCCAACUGUGUUGCUGUUGCCCUGUGUUCCACACCAUGGCACGCCACAGUAAGCUGCAAAAACAGGUGUUGUCUCUGUACCGCCAGUUCCUGCGUGCUGGCCAGGACAAGCCAGGCUUUCUACCCAGGAUCCGGGAUGAGUUCCGAGAGAACUCCAGCAUCAAGAAGACUGAUGUCAUGCACAUAGAAUACCUUUACCGGCGCGGACAGAGACAGCUAGACCAGCUGAAAGAUGUGAACACAAAGCAACUAGGAACUUUCUCCAAACCUAAGGCAGAGCGAUAACCAACACUAUUUCCGUCUCCACACCCUCUGUUGUAGCUACCUCUAGUUAUGUGGAUAAUACAGCGUUAUCCAUUGUGUUACAUUCAUCAUUCACUAGUCAGAUUACUACUUUCAAUCUGCAGCUGAGUAAGUGCAGUCAUUGUCCUAAGCAAUGGCCAUUGUUCUGAACUGUAUGACAGUACCAAUGCACUGUGCUCUUUCAUAGAGCUGGAUACCACUGAUGAUGAUGAUGAUGAUGAUGAUGAUGAUGAUAAAUGUUUAAGUCAAUCUCUGGCCAGUGAGUUUGUUGGGUUGAGCAGACCAGUUGCUCUGGUCAUUGUUGUAAAAUACUUACUUUCAUCUAGCUACAUUUACCUGUUGAGUGUUUUGGAUUAAAGACUUUUAUCAUCAGUAUGGGAAGUGAAUUUGACUUAUGUAAAAGGUCUAGUUAAUACUAUUAUAUGCUUACGUGUCACAGGAGGUCAAGUUAUGGGAUCUUAGAUUUUUAUAAUACUUUUAAAAAUAGAAAUGGUGUACUCUUACUGCAUUGUUAGGUCGUAACAUAAACAUUUUUCUGCACCAGCUAUAACAUCUGUGUAUGCGACCAAUAAACUUUGAUUUAAUUUAAUGCUCAUGAAAUAUACAGUCAAUUAGAAAUGCCUGAGUAAUUUAGACACUGCCAGUCAGCAACAGACAGUAGACAAAUCUAAUGGUCCAAUCCCAAAUUGACCCCUUGACCCUACGCCCUAUCAGAGAGGAAUAGGUGAAGCAAGAGGGUUAUCUCUCGCCAAAAUCUGUCCAAAAUAGAUUUCAAAUAGAGCCAUGACUACACGGAUCUCUGCCACCCCAGGUAACUCAAGCCAGCAAUAAAACCUAUUUCAAAAAACAGAUAAAAUAAUACCUUACUGCACAAAGGGGACUGUGAAGAGACACAGACAUUGUAUAUACUGUAUAAUGUAUUGUAAUUUGCACUGUACUAUUAGACCUAUAUAUUGUGUGUAUGUACUGAUUAUGUAUGUUGGCAAUGUACCCCUGACUGCAAUGUGCAGUUUGGGGUGAGGCUCAAUGUGGGCGGAGUCAAACAUUUGACCAUGCCCACUGUAUUUUUUGAAAGUCCUCCACAGGUUUGACAGUCACACACUGAAUACAAACACACACGUUUGUGCAAGGAACACGUUGAAUACAAACAUAUUUCCUUUUUGAAGAUCGUAAGAAAUAUUAUAUAAAGUGGUACCAGCACAUAUGUUGAAACACUUUUUGCUUCAUGCUAUAUUUGAGACAAGCUACUGAUAUUGUUGCGGUGAACAACAGACUUGUCAUGUACUGUUAAGAUUGCGUUGAUAAAUGUUAACUUUAUAUUAUUUAAUUGAGAAUAAAUAUACAGUUACUAGCUAUCCUGAUUUAUAAUGCUAUUUACUUUCCUCAUCAGAAUGGAGACAGACUAUACCAUAUAGGCAAGCUGAAUGUGCUUUGUACAUUAAGUUAUACCAGCUCCAGUAAAGAGAUCAGAGACUCGGGUGACUUCUAAGUCAUCUUUACUAAACAACAUAACACAAUUAACAAAUGAAACAAUUAACACAGCAGACAAAAACAAGGUUGACCACUCCUCAAAAAUUGCUUCACUCCUGCUCCUCAAAAGAGGCAAAGACAGUCAUUUUCUUGUUGUCAACUGCCUCCACAUAGAACAUCUCAUCAUCUCUCUGUAACUGGAACGAGAACAUGAAUGGUUUCUCAAGGAGAAUAUUUUCCUCCUCAUCCAGGCCAUCAUACAACCGUAGUUCUUUAAGGGUUGUAAUACGGUCUUCCACCCUCCAUCCCAAUUACACUAGGGAGGGAAAUGUUGCCUUUAAAUGUUUGCCGUUCGCACCACCUUGCUGCUUCCUUGAAGAAAAAGGAAGAAGAAAAAUUAAGAGUUGUGCCUCAUUGGGUGAUCAAGUAAAGUUUUUACAAUACCACCAUGGAAACAAAAGCCACCAUUACUAAAGAGGUUUUCAGUGAUAUCUAUAACUACUCAACAAGUCUAUUAUAUGCAUCAAGCCUUCAGCAUUACACACAGUAGACUACAUACACAGUUCACAGCUCCCAGUUCGCCUUGCAUUUUGUUUUCAGUAUUGUCUAGAAAGAAAACCGAUUGUUGUCAUUAAGCAAUGUAAGGGAACCUCUAGGGAUGUGUGUACAGGAAUGCACCUUACUUUAGCUAAUAGUCUAUACAGUACCUGAUCCUGCAGAGCUGGAGGCUGAUGUGACAUGCUGUGACUUCUUGGGGGAGAGUCAUAUACAUCAUCCUAAAAUAUAUUGGAGGGGGGGGGGUUAAGUCUUUAAACAUUGGUUUAAGACUAUACCACUCAUCAUAUGAUACCUCCUACCUGUGUUUUGUUUCAAUCUUUCAACCUCACUUCUUCAGACCUUAGUGAGUGAAUGACGUACAUUACAUACAUAAAAUAGAUUCAGGUCAGUCUGGCUACAGUGAAACAAAUUAUUUUAAGGAAGUUUGUAUAAUGUUCAAGACUUUGGGGUGGCAGGGUAGCCUAGUGGUUAGAGUGUUGGACUAGUAACCGGAAGGUUGCAAGUUCAAAUCCUCGAGCUGACAAUUCUCUCGUUCUGCCCCUGAACAGGCAGUUAACCCACUAACUGACUUGCCUAGUUAAAUAAAGGUAAAAUUAAAAAAGACAUACGACAUGGAAAGUUCUGCAGGAGAACUAGGCACCACAAUAGUGUGCUGCAAGCACAGAAAUAAUAAUUGUUCAUAUGUUAUAACAACAGAAAAUAGGACUAAUAUAAAAUACUGAAUAACCAGCAUCUUACCAUCAAAACAAACACCCCACAUUUGUUUGAGAAACUUUGCGUUGGUAGGCCCUGUGGUGUGAACAAGGUACAAUUUUCAAUAAAGGAAUGACAAUCAAAUGGUUCAGUGGAAUCAUUUAAAGGAAUAUCUGACCUAAACAUCAUCCACACCAAAAGUCCUCCAAGGUCCAGGGGACAAGAUUCGAGCAAUGUUUCUGUGAACACAGUGUAUGUGAAAGUUAAGAAAAAGUACAAUUUUUAAACUGAACUACCACUAUCCAGAUGGGAUGAAACCGGGUGCCCGAAAAACAUGAAUGGUUGGGUGCAACUUUUCUCUCCAGCCAGUGCCAUGGAGGGGAUCAAGAAAGAAAAUCUCCCUAGCUUGUGGCCUCAGUAUCUGUUAAAUGUGUUCAAAUAUGAACAGACACACUUUGACAUACAACUUUCAAACUUAUGACUUUAAAAUAGUAGGAUUUAUACUGAAAAACUAUAUAGGUAGUGGUUAAUGAAACAGCUAUAACGCAUUGUAAUUCUAGAAAAGAAUCAGAGCGGCAAUGAGCAACUUCGUUUUACAGUUAACAAAGGCAAAACUAAAUUUACUAACACCUAAUGUCCAAUGUGUUUAUCCAUGUAACUAGAUUAAAUUCGAUUAAGACUCGCUUUCGUUGACGUUGAUACCUUCGACGUGAACAAAACUAUUUAGGUCACCCGAAAGGAGGGGUUCGGGUUAAACGCGUUUGACUCCGCCCACAUUGAUCCCGGACCGGAACUGCACACUGCAGUCAGGGGCUUCUCGGUCUUAUUGCUUAAUUAUAUUAUUAUUAUAUAUUACUAUGUAAGAUUCUCGCUAUAGCCACACGGUGGUGGUAACUUGCGUAGCAGAUCUUAGCACACGACGUAGCGUAGUUAAAUGUAAACAGGAAGUGGAUACACGGGGUUCGUUCUUGGCCUGUGAGUCUUGAGAUUGAGACUAAAUUUUUGUUCAUUUUAAUUGGAUAAUUACAUUACUACAGAAUUAUUGUUAUAGUAGCUUGUAUAUUUGUUUUACGUAAAAUAUUUGAACAUGUCCGGAUCAUCGAGGCCAGGUGAAAUGUCCAAUUCGCAGUUGUUCCAGCAGUUAGCGCUUUUGGGCUGGCUCCGUUCAGACAGCGAAAAAGACAAGGAGAUCUUAACGGCCAUCACAGGCAUUCAGGUGGCACGAGAGCUCAUGAACCGUCUCACAGGACAAAGAGAAGUGGACGCUUUUAAGAAAGAAUGUAUCCAGAGCAUUGCAGACUUUGUGCAGAAGAAUCCUCGUGCCUCACAAAAGGAAAUCAACACAGCAGUUGAGAAGCAUGUCUUGCUUUUUGCUGCUCGAGUACAGGCCCUUGAUUCUGCACCCCUACUAUGAGUCCCACACAGCUUACACACAUCUUCUUUGUUGUAGCUCACUAUCACUGACUGACCACUGUAUCUGAAUAGAAAAGCUUCUAAAAUUAAGAAAUUAUUACACCAAUCAAGGUAUGCCUACACACAUGGGUUCUAUCUGCGCUCUCUCUCUCUCAUGCUGUAUUGCAAACAACCCUAUUGCAAUGUUGUGCUACUGUACAAAGAAUACUGGAUAAAAAGCUUUAUGUCAUGGACCAGGAGAUGACCAGACAACUGUACAUUUUGGUAACAUUCCAAUAAUUCCACCAGCCAGUCUGUUUAGAUUGUUAUCUAACCUAAUUUAAUCUAAACCAUGUUUUUGAUAUAAUUUUCAUAACGUAGAUAGCCUUAUCUAAGGCAGAUGUAAUUGUUGUCUAUCUGUUGUAUGUUGUCUUCAUAUAUUGUCUAAUAUUAUACAUAUUGCCUUAUUUGAAUUAUUGUAAUGAAUUGAUAUUAAAAGGGAGACUCUUCUGAUG